rnacentral:snRNA from 1 species
UAAUAGACCUGGAUAGGGUUAAUAAGCGAUCAAUAAGACUCAUAGUCUAGGUUCGUAACCUCCGUAGCACUUCGGCAGAUGAUGCCUAAAGUCGGCUCGAGUGGUCGUCAAUCGUAUAUCAUACUUUGCUGCUGCGAGGGCCCGUA